rnacentral:lncRNA from 1 species
AUGACAAAAUGCAGAAACUUCCAUGUACUUUCAGAACUGUGCAUGGACAGGAGUGGCACGUGUGCUCCUCUGCUGUGGAAUGCAUGGGCAGCCCCCUCGAGGCAGGGGAGAACGGCUGGAGCUCUGCUGCUGUUGGAAGCUCUGUCACUCCAGUGCUUUAUUAGAAUGGGAUGUUGGACACAGUGCCAAGAGGUUAAGGAGCUCAAUCCAAGGCCUGUGCACCCUGGAGAAUGGGAGGAGUAUCCACCCCAUCCCUGCACUGCGAGUGAGGAACCUGGCCAUGGAACUUGGAGACUAUCUUUGCAAGACAGGAAAUAAAAGGUAAAGCCUAACCAGCAAACAGAAUCUUGCUGGUUCUUUGGAGGAAGCCGAGAAGCCACAACAGAGAAGGGCACAAAACCAAAAUAAUUUUGUAGCUGCAUUUGGGUGCACUAGAAGAGGAGAGAUGGUAUGGCCAAGUUCCCAUCGGAAGGGAGGUGCAGGGAAUGAGGCACAAAAUUAACACAGUGUGGAUCAUUUUGGCAACGAAGUUUAGGAGGAAAAAUUUUUGAGAGAUGAUGUUAAAAAGUAAGGGUGGGGAUGAGCUAAUGCCUGGUGGUAAAGAGGUGGAGAAAGCAGAGUCAUGGCUGACUGAGAGGUUACAAACUCAGGUCAGGAAGAGGACAGUGGGUGUGAGCC